CACGUUCCCGAGUUGUGUUCGUUCGUGUUCCUGGUUUCUUUGCGCCUUUUAGAGGACCGUUUGCUCGAGAGCUACAGGAGAGACCACGAGACCGCGUGGAACUUUCAUUCGAUGAUGGAAGUCGCUAAAGUAAACGAAGCCGUCGACAGCCUGGUCGCGCAGUCGCUGAACGUCACGUCGGAGUCCCUGUCGGUCGAGUCGAUGAAAUCGGUGCAGAGCGUGCAAACGAAAUCAGUGAUCGAGUCGUCGACGUCGGUCAAGUCCGUGUCCUCGUCGUCGACCAAGUCGCAUCAGUCGGUGGAAUACGAGGAGACGGUCGAGUACAGUGACUAGGCGAAGACGUAUCCACCAUCCCAGACAACCCCUUUUAUUCGACUUCGUUCCACGCCGGGGGAGGAUUGGUCACGGUAUCUCUGACUCGACUCCACCAUAGGAACCACGACCACUUCAAUCCCGUUUUUUUUUCUCCUCGUACGAGGAUUCACCAAAGGAAUCAGACACACGGGGACGGUUUAGUCGCGUGUCCCUUUGAAAACCAAUGGAAAUUCAGCCUCGAUCCACGGGGAAUGUGUCCUUUCACGUUCUGCAUUUUCAUUCGAGAUCCAGACGGGUGAAAAGAACGUGCUAGGAAUGUUACGAACGAUGAUUCGACCGAGAAGACGCAACGGGGAUGCACUUGGGGACCAGGAUGAAAGGUGCACCAAUAAGUCGAGUCGAACGACCGGUGACGAUCGACGGAGGUCAAGGCGACCAUAGUAUAGUCGGGCUGCUAUACAGAAAUAACCAUCCGCGUUCUGUGCGCCCCGUGUUAAUGGAAAAAAAGAAGAAGAAGAAGAAGAAAACGAGGGGGAACGUUUUGGAAGCCUGCGAGCUGGCUCUCCUCCAAUCUCGGCGUGGUUCACCGCCAAAUACCGACUCCCCCCUUUACUUUUCUAACCCAGGAUCCACUCCACGGUCGUCUAGCCGAUCCUCUCUCCUUUUGAAUAACCCUCUCCGUCAUUGUCACGUUCCGUUCCCCCCCAGACUUCAUCGUCGAGACCGUUCGAUGAUAAUCUUUGUACAAUAAACUUUCUAAGAUGUUGGGUUCUUA